GGUAUUUGGUUUUCCCUCAGGGGAGGAGACUGCGAAAUGUCUGAGCUGGAGUGACGUCUGCGCUUAUCUCGUCGUAAUUGCAUGGGGAGGGUGAGGACUGCUCCAAGGUGGUGUGUGACCACAGACCUCACUUCUCAUAAAACAAAUCAAGACCAAACUUCAGAGACUACAUCUCAAUGGAAAAAAAAAAAAAAAACAACACGAGUCAAAAAUAGAAGUCACUGACCUGUCCGCUCUGCU